GAUGAACGCUGGCGGCGUGCCUAAUACAUGCAAGUCGAGCGAACGGACGAGAAGCUUGCUUCUCUGAUGUUAGCGGCGGACGGGUGAGUAACACGUGGAUAACCUACCUAAGACUGGGAUAACUUCAGGAAACCGGAGCUAAUACCGGAUAAUAUUUUGAGCCGCAUGGUGCGAAAGUGAAAGACGGGCUUGCUGUCACUUAUAGCUCGAUCCGCGCUGCAGUAGCUAGUUGGUAAGGUAACGACUUACCAAGGCAACGAUGCAUAGCCGACCUGAGAGGGGGAUAGGCCACACUGGAACUGAGACACGGUCAAGACUCCUACGGGAGGCAGCAGUAGGGAAUCUGACGCAAUGGGCGAAAGCCUGACGGAGCAACGCCGCGUGAGUGAUGAAGGUCUUCGGAUCGUAAAACUCUGUUAUUAGGGAAGAACAGAUGUGUAAGUAACUGUGCACAUCUUGACGGUACCUAAUAAGAAAGCCACGGCUAACUACGUG
rnacentral:rRNA from 1 species